rnacentral:rRNA from 1 species
AUGAUCAUUGGUGAUUUUAAUGAGAUCUCGAACAUGAGUGAGAAAGAAGGAGGGAAUGCUAGGCCUGAACAGUAUAUGAGAGAUUUCAGAGAUUGUAUUGAAGACUGUGGACUGCAUGAGGUCAUGUUCAUAGGUGACGAGUUUACUUGGAGACGAGGGGAUAUUCGAGAGAGGUUGGAUAGAGCCCUUUGCAAUGACUUGUGGGCAGAGAAAUUCCCAUAUGCAGCUGUUGUGCAUGAACAACACGUUCAUUCAGAUCAUAGGCCUGUUCUG